CAAAUAGUCAUUGACGUCAGGGUCACUAUUGACAACGUCGCCAACAUCAGUCACGAGCUUGACAAUUCGUUUUGCAUUUGUGUAUGUUGCAAAUGCUUUUCCUCCAAUCAUGACUGUGCGAGGAGUUGUAUUUUUCCUUUCUUCAGGGCUCAUUCCCUAUAGUAAUGAUACAGGUAUAAGAAUAUCAUUACUUUCUAAAAGAUGGAAUAUCCCAAUCUUGCAUCAUCUCAAUAAUCUCAAGAUUUCAUCAUGUGCAGAAAGGAAACCACAAAAGUAGAAAAGUUAAAACUGAAUAUGAUCCUUAUUUUACUUGUUAGAUCAUUGCUGGCAGUGACAACGAUCUUGAAAUAUUAAUGCCGCUAACAAGGAGAAAUAACAGAAAAUGGAAAUUUGGCAGUUUCACGCACCUUAAGCUUCUUGUAUCUAUAGAUGACGCCCAGAAUAUUUAGAAGCUGCCUUUUGUAUUCAUGGAUACGUUUGACUUGUAUGUCAAAAAGGGAAUUUGGAUCAAUGCUCACAGCUGUCACAUGCAGUAUAUACUGUGCCAAACGCUGCUUGUUGGCCAUCUUGGCUGAUUCCCAUUCAGCAUGGAGCUCCGAAUUAUCAGCAAACUUUGCAAAAUGUAUAGUCAAUUGCAAUAUCAUUACCCACAUGAAGGAAAAUGUUCAAUGUAUGCAAGCUUUUACGAUAAAUGAUAUGUUACACACACACAUACACACACAUAUAUAAGAUACCUCCCGAAGAUUAGCAAGCAGUUCGAGGUUCGUCACCCAUUGAUCUGUUUUUAACCACUUGGUAAUUAUAUGACUCAGCUCAGGACUACAAAAUCGGAUCCACCUACGAGGAGUUAUACCAUUGGUCUUAUUCUGGAACUUGGUGGGCCAUACAGAGACAUAAUCAGCAAAUAACUCAGCCUUCAGGAUGUCACUAUGCAGCUGGGCAACACCAUUUAC
rnacentral:lncRNA from 1 species